UAAAAUAGAUCCAAAAUUUAAAACACAUUCUAAUCCAGAUAAAAAAAUAGUCCAACUUUUGUCAAAAUUACCUUCUCUUUUUCCUGUAUAUACAGCAAUUGUCGGAAAAGGAAAAAGCUACAAUUGGCGGCCAUCGUUAUGCGAAAGACGAGAAUUAUUUCUAUGGCGAAUUGAGACGUAUGGCGACUUAAAUACCAAAAUUAAUGAAAGAAGAGAGAAGUUACAUCAUUUCAAAUUAACGUUGCAACCACAGGCUGUCAUCAUAGGAUCUUCAGAAACUGAUAUAAAACAUAGUAUAGUAAUCGUUGAUAAAAUACAUUAUGAAGUAGAAUCACCACUAAAGGCUAUUGAUAUAGCCUUUAAAUGUAUCCAUAGCCUACAUGCUGAAUAUCCUAAGGAAAGUGAACAAGUUUAUCUUUUUCUACAAACUGGUAUUUAUGGUAUUACUUCCAAAUACGACAAAAAAUUUAG